UCGGGAAUUUUGGGCAAUGGGCGAAAGCCUGACGCAGCAACGCCGCGUGAGUGAUGAAGGCCUUCGGGUCGUAAAGCUCUGUCGGAGGGAACGAAUGCUCCUGAAGUUAACAGCCUCAGGAGGUGACGGUACCCUCAAAGGAAGCACCGGCUAACUCUGUGCCAGCAGCCGCGGUAAUACGUAGGUGGCAAGCGUUGUCCGGAUUUAUUGGGUUUAAAGGGUGCGUAGGUGGCCCUGUAAGUCAGUGGUGAAAUAUCUCAGCUUAACUGAGAGGGUGCCAUUGAUACUGCAGGGCUUGAGUACAGAUGAGGUAGGCGGAAUUGACGGUGUAGCGGUGAAAUGCAUAGAUAUCGUCAAGAACACCGAUAGCGAAGGCAGCUUACCAAGCUGUAACUGACACUGAGGCACGAAAGUGUGGGGAUCAAACAGGAUUAGAUACCCCAGUAGUCCCUGAGCGGGCUGGCAAGGCGCAU
rnacentral:rRNA from 1 species